GGAGAGAUGUCCGAGCGGUUUAAGGAGCUGGUCUUGAAAACCAGUGAGUCAGCAAUGGCCCGUGGGUUCGAAUCCCACUCUCUCCGCCA
rnacentral:tRNA from 1 species